rnacentral:rRNA from 1 species
AUGGGCAUCUCAUCCUUGUCCGGGAGCAAAAUGUGCAGAGGUGUAUCUUGCGACUUCGCCGACUCCACCAGCACCUCGAAAGACGCAAAGGAGCGGUCUGCGUCCAUGAGGAAGCUCCUGAUCGCCGUGAUCCUCUGCGUCAUAUUCAUGGCGGUUGAGGUGGUUGGAGGCAUCAAGGCGAACAGCCUUGCGAUCUUGACCGAUGCAGCCCAUCUCCUCUCGGACGUCGCGGCCUUCGCCAUAUCUCUCUUCUCUCUGUGGGCAGCUGGUUGGGAAGCGACGCCUCGGCAGUCAUACGGGUUUUUCCGUAUAGAGAUUCUUGGCGCACUGGUUUCUAUUCAGCUCAUAUGGCUCCUCGCCGGAAUUCUCGUCUACGAAGCUAUCAUGAGGCUCGUCAACGGAAGCGGGGGCGAGGUGCAGGGCUCCCUCAUGUUCGCGGUAUCAGCUUUUGGUCUGUUCGUUAACAUUGUGAUGGCAGUGCUGCUUGGCCAUGACCAUGGGCACGGUGGCCAUGGCCAUGGACACUCACAUGAUCAUGGUAACUCGGAGGACGACCAUGGGCAUGAUCAUGAGCAGGGCCACGCACAUCACCAUGAGCACAGCCAUGGUAGUUCCAUAACCGUCACCACUCAUCAUCAUCCUCAUUCAACCACAGGACAACACCAGGAUGAUGCCGAGGAACCGUUGCUUAAGCAUGAUGAUGGUGCCAAGGAAGCUAAGGAGACUCGCCGCCGUAACAUCAAUGUGCACAGUGCUUACCUGCAUGUGAUCGGUGACUCCAUCCAGAGCAUCGGCGUGAUGGUCGGAGGGGCUCUCAUCUGGUACAAGCCCGAGUGGAAGAUCAUCGACCUCAUAUGCACCCUCAUCUUCUCCGUGAUCGUGCUGUUCACCACGGUCAGAAUGGUUCGGAACUUGCUCGAGGUUCUGAUGGAGAGCACGCCCCGCGAGGUCGACGCCACCAGGCUCGAGGGCGGCCUCCUUCAGAUGGAAGGCGUGGUUGCUGUCCAUGAGCUGCACGUCUGGGCUAUCACGGUGGGGAAGGUGCUCCUGGCGUGCCAUGUGACGAUCGAGCAGGAUGCGGACGCCGAUCAAAUGCUCGACAAGGUCAUUGGGUACAUCAAGGAAGAGUACAACAUCGGCCAUGUCACCAUCCAGAUCGAGCGCGAGUAA